GCCGGGGUGGCGGAACUGGCAGACGCGCAUGGUUGAGGGCCAUGUGGGGUAACCUGUAGGAGUUCAAGUCUCCUCCCCGGCACCA
rnacentral:tRNA from 1 species